GACGAACGCUGGCGGCGUGCUUAACACAUGCAAGUCGAACGGAAAGGCCCUGCUUUUGUGGGGUGCUCGAGUGGCGAACGGGUGAGUAACACGUGAGUAACCUGCCCUUGACUUUGGGAUAACUUCAGGAAACUGGGGCUAAUACCGGAGAGGAGCUCCUGCUGCAUGGUGGGGGUUGGAAAGUUUCGGCGGUUGGGGAUGGACUGGCGGCUUAUCAGCUUGUGGGUGGGGUAGUGGCUUACCAAGGCUUUGGCGGGUAGCCGGCCUGAGAGGGGGACCGGCCACAUUGGGACUGAGAGACGGCCCAGACUCCUACGGGAGGCAGCAGUGGGGAAUAUUGCACAAUGGGCGGAAGCCUGAUGCAGCAACGCCGCGUGCGGGAUGACGGCCUUCGGGUUGUAAACCGCUUUCGCCUGUGACGAAGCGGGAGUGACGGUAAUGGGUAAAGAAGCACCGGCUAACUACGUG
rnacentral:rRNA from 1 species